GAGACGCUGGCGGCGUGGAUUAGGCAUGCAAGUCGAACGGUAUCAUCCUUUCGGGGGUGAGAGAGUGGCGAACUGGUGAGUAACACGUAGGUAUCUACCCUCAAGACGGGACAACCCAGGGAAACUUGGGCUAAUACCGGAUGUGAGCAACUUUUAGUUGUUUGAAAGGUGGCGUAAGCUGUCGCUUGGGGAUGAGCCUGCGUCCUAUUAGUUAGUUGGUGAGGUAACGGCUCACCUAGGCAAUGAUAGGUAGGCGGCCUUAACGGGUGGUCGCCCACACUGGGAUUGAGAUACGGCCCAGACUCCUACGGGAGGCAGCAGUCGAGAAUAGUCUACAAUGGUCGGAAGACUGAUAGUGCGACGCCGCGUGAACGAUGAAUCCCUUCGGGGUGUAAAGUUCUUUUAUAUGUGAGCAGUGCUUCUUAUAUUAACAGUAUGGGGAGAGAGAUAUUAGCAUAUGAAUAAGCAACGGCUAACUCCGUG
rnacentral:rRNA from 1 species